CAGUCAGAUAGCAGCACUCAUGGCCUACCUGGGUACAAAGCAGCAGUAUACUACAGCAUUGUCAGGCAAGGGCAUGAGUAAAAAAUUGAGAAUGACAAUGUCAGUAUCUGACACCUAUUCAUCAGCCAUGUUGACCCAGGGGAAAGUGGACAGAACUGAGAGAAUGAACCAGAAGACUCCAGAGCUCUGAUAGAGAUAAUCAAUGCCCUGAACAUCCCUGCUGAUGGUUCUACUGGAGUAUUGGGGUCUUGCUCUUGCAUUCCAGUUCCUCGCCCACAGCACCGUCCCCAUCUGAUUGAUCUAACUCCUAAGGACAAUGUGCCUGUUUCUGAGACCUGAAGGACUGUGCCUCUGUGUGCAGUAAAGAAACCUAGACUUUACCCUCUUCUUCACUUGUUUCCAAAGCAAC
rnacentral:lncRNA from 1 species